UACGUAGGGUGCAAGCGUUAAUCGGAAUUACUGGGCGUAAAGCGUGCGCAGGCGGUUGUGCAAGACCGAUGUGAAAUCCCCGGGCUCAACCUGGGAAUGGCAUUGGUGACUGCACGGCUAGAGUGUGUCAGAGGGGGGUAGAAUUCCACGUGUAGCAGUGAAAUGCGUAGAGAUGUGGAGGAAUACCGAUGGCGAAGGCAGCCCCCUGGGAUAACACUGACGCUCAUGCACGAAAGUGUGGGGAUCAAACAGG
rnacentral:rRNA from 1 species